GUGAUGGUCAACAAGGGCAGAAGAGCACGAAAUGCCGUAGAUGUGCUAAUCCGACGUAAUGCUGCAGUGGGAUAACCAAGAUUGAGACAUUGAGACAGGAGAAGAACAGUUACUCGCAGCAGUAACUAUUCUUCUUCAUUUGGAGAAGUUCAUGCUGCUCUUCUACGCUAAUUUCAGGAUGCAAGUGUAACUCCCGAGUUGGCCACACUUACAAAAAAGAGACUCUAUAUAAUUUUACAGUGAAUCACAGUAAAGCCCACCACCCGGACCCUGGCUUUAUCUUAAUUUCCACAAGAUGAGACAACUCUAAUGGGCUAACAGGAUUUGCCACUUUCACUUUCUACUUUCCUUCUGAGCGUUAAUACUGAUUUGACUCUACUUUAUUUGUGGCCUUGCUGGAGUACAGUAUUUAGUUUCAAUUUACAGAUUUCAACCCGCAUGCAUACUGUCCGUCUGUGGUAGGAAUACGGUAGAAUACGAAGUUUUGAAGCGAUAAUUGGCGGAUUCAGGUCAGUUUUUGAUGGAAGAUAUGUGUUGAUAUUGCCU